CCAUUUCACGCUGCAGAAUUUGGAGAAGGGGAAAAACAAUUAACACUUCCAAACCCUUGGUCAAAAAUUCAAUCCACCAUAACUUCUUGCUCCGAGCUCCGAUCGUCACACCGUUUGCGGCCACGCGAUUACGGCGUCAAGCUCUACAAUUCUAUAGGAUCAAUUUCUUUGGUUCAAGUUUAGCUUGAGGAACUUGUGGGCCUUUACUCAAUCAAGAUAUACUUAAGAUGCAGGUCGAGCGGCACUUCGGUAGGCGUAUGAAGUUUCUGUGGCGAAGUGGUUUACUUUGGGAUCCUCUUUUGUUACUUUGAUGUAUAUAUAUGUAUAGGUCCUCCUCUUGUUUGUAAGGAUACUUUGUUUAUGUACCUCUUAGAGGUUUUAUGGAGAACUAGGGUUUUUGAACAUGUUCUUUUGGGUUAUUAUUAUUAUUAUUAUAUAUACACGUACCUAUAUGUUCUCCGGCUAGCCUUGGCUUCGCAGGCUGAGUUAGGAGCUUGUUAUUUUGUAUUA